GCGGAAGUGGCGAAAUUGGUAGACGCACCAGAUUUAGGUUCUGGCGCCGCAAGGCGUAAGAGUUCAAGUCUCUUCUUCCGCACCA
rnacentral:tRNA from 7 species